GCACGCAUCUGUUGAAAAGAGCAGAAGACCACCGCAUUUCCAGAAGCUGGGUUUAUGAUUGAGUCCACUGAACGUUAAGAUCGAGAAGGAAUUCUGCAGGAUCACACUGAAGCUAUUGCAGUCCACAUUCCUGGGCAAGUUGGAGCAACACACACCCAAGCUGUUGCCUGUACAGGAGGAAGGGUGGAGCCGUUGGGAAGAAACUUGAUGAGACCCUUGACAUGUUAAAUGAGGCAUGUAUUUACAACAGUGUGGUAGUAAUUAGUUGACGACACAAUUGAGUCGCGAAGAGAAGUUGUGAUCAGAGGACUCACACUCUACCUUGGUGAAUACACUGGAGAGUUAACGAAGGACUACCAGGUUAUUAAUGACGA